UGGGGAAUAUUGCACAAUGGGCGAAAGCCUGAUGCAGCAACGCCGCGUGAGUGAUGAAGGUCUUCGGAUUGUAAAGCUCUGUCUUUUGGGACGAUAAUGACGGUACCAAAGGAGGAAGCCACGGCUAACUACGUGCCAGCAGCCGCGGUAAUACGUAGGUGGCGAGCGUUGUCCGGAUUUACUGGGCGUAAAGGGUGCGUAGGCGGAUGUUUAAGUGAGAUGUGAAAUACCCGGGCUUAACUUGGGUGCUGCAUUUCAAACUGGAUAUCUAGAGUGCAGGAGAGGAGAAUGGAAUUCCUAGUGUAGCGGUGAAAUGCGUAGAGAUUAGGAAGAACACCAGUGGCGAAGGCGAUUCUCUGGACUGUAACUGACGCUGAGGCACGAAAGCGUGGGUAGCAAACAGGAUUAGAUACCCUGGUAGUCCGCGCCGUAAACGAUGAGUACUAGGUGUAGGAGGUAUCGACCCCUUCUGUGCCGCAGUAAACACAUUAAGUACUCCGCCUGGGAAGUACGAUCGCAAGAUUAAA
rnacentral:rRNA from 1 species